GUGCUCACUUUGGCAGCACAUAUACUAAAAUUGGAACGAUACAGAGAAGAUAAGCAUAGCCCCUGUGCAAGGAUGACAUGAAAAUUCCUGAAGUGUUACAUAAUUUU
ensembl:snRNA U6 U6 spliceosomal RNA